rnacentral:rRNA from 1 species
UACGUAGGGGGCAAGCGUUGUCCGGAAUCACUGGGCGUAAAGCGCACGCAGGCGGAUCGUUAAGUCGGGGGUGAAAUCCCGAGGCUCAACCUCGGAACUGCCUUCGAUACUGGCGAUCUUUGAGUCCGGGAGAGGUGAGUGGAACUCCGAGUGUAGAGGUGAAAUUCGUAGAUAUUCGGAAGAACACCAGUGGCGAAGGCGGCUCACUGGCCCGGUACUGACGCUCAGGUGCGAAAGCGUGGGGAGCAAACAGG